AAAAAUCUACUCAUGUUUUUCAUAAACACCAGUAAAAAAUAGUUUAUUUUACUAUAAACAAUGAAAUGCUAUAAUUUUUAUAAUUUUAACAAAAAUAUUAUAAUUUCAAUCUAUUCGAUUAAACCAAAUUCUUUUUAUCCAAAAUCGAACCAACUAAAACUUACUUCAGUUUGUAACUUCUUAAACGACUAAAAAAUCAGGUCAGAAAAUAAAUGAAUUAAUUUGGUCCAGUUUUGGUUCAGAGUUGCUCAGUGCAAAUAAAACCCCACCCAAGAUUUACCUCCCCAAUCUUUUCUUGUUUCCAAACAAUAGAAAAAGUUGUUCUAUGAUGGAAUCUCCUCCCACUUUCUUUCCUUUCAUUUUCUCUUCUACCUCUUUCCAACUUUUCCAAACAAAGGUUUUUCUUCCUUUUCUUUAACUGGAAAUGCAACUACAUUGGUUAAAGGCUGAAAGCCCAGCUACAUCAAGUAAGAAAGAUCCCAAUUUAUUAUUUUUUCUCUCUUUAAUAUCUUAUAUCUGAAUUGAAAUUGAUGACUGUGUUGGUUCAGUAUUUGUUCAUUUACCCAAUAUACAUUAUUAUCGUUCUAACGAAAUUUGAUGUCUUUUAAUAGACAAUAACUUCAUUGAUAUAAUUAAUUAGCAAAUGAUUUACCUAAAUAACACAAACCAAAAAGAUGAUAUCAAGAAUCAAUUAAAAGCAUAAUAAUAAUAAAUUAAGCCAAACUAACCUCAACAAGCUUGAAUGUUUGAUCAGAGUUGAUCUGCAGUCUAAUCACUUGAGAACGUCUUGCAGAGCUAGCAUCAAUGAAAUUCAAAUUGGCCAAUCUGAAAGAAUUCAGAGAAUACCCAACAACAUCCAUUCCUCUGGCCCAGAACCACUUACUAGAUUU
rnacentral:lncRNA from 1 species